AGCGGGGUAGAGCAGAGGUAGCUCGAGAGGCUCAUAACCUCUAGGCCCUGGUUCGAUUCCAGGCCCCGCGA
rnacentral:tRNA from 1 species